rnacentral:lncRNA from 1 species
UUCAGAGACAAACGAGAUACCAGAACAGAGGAAUGUUUCUCAGAAGGACCAGUGAGACAUCUCCUGACCUCUGUCUCCAUUGGAGGAUAUAACUGGAGUAGAAAAGAGAAGCAGAGGCACCACAGACUACAGAUACCCAUGGGGAAUGUUGUUCUGCCUCAAGUUUCAGCUCUACAACAUGGCCAUGGCCAGAUGAGGAUGGACGUUAUAUACCCAUAGGUUCCUCUUCCGAGUCACAGAACCACUUGCAGGAACGGCUCGGGAGAGUUUUGGAAGAAAGGAGAGGGAAAAAAGGAGCUGCAUUUUUAUUUAACAGAAGAAGGAGAACAUAAAGAAAAGAAAGGUGUUCUCAAGAAUGUAGCCCGCAGCCUUGUCAGGUAGCAUAUCUUCAGAUGUUUUUUUUCUCCCCUUUCCCACCCCAAGAUCUCUCUUCAUCAUUUUUUUAAACAUCUCUUCUGGGACAGGGACAUGAAAGUGAAUUGUGGGUCAAAGUCAAGAAUUAGGGGUUGCUGGGGCUGCUUUCUGAUGGCUUUACUUUAUCUUUGUGUCCAAGCUUUUGCCAGUCAGCAGGUACCGCGGGUUAUCCAUUCCAGUCACAUCAUUUUCUGCUUGAUGACAAGCAUCACACCUUCAUCCAUCACAUUUACAUUUCAAACUGCCACACUGCUCUAUUGAUUAAUUAUUUAGCAGCUCUUGGCCACUUGCGAGUGUUUCUGUGCUCACGUUUCACAGAGAAGGUCCAUUCUUUUUAUUUGCGUACGGUUUUGUAAAGCAGAAAAAAUAUGUAAUGCCUUUAGCACACGCACCCCUGUGCAUGUAUGCUAAUAUAUAUGAUAUGGCAAUAUAUAUAUGCAUAUGUGUGUGCAUGCUUAUGUGGUGUAUGUACUGGUACAAUUAAAUACACACAAGGAGUGGGAGCAGGUAAUCUGAUCAAUAAGCACAUGCUCACACUGAUAAUAGAUUUCUGAGUUGUCAGAGACCUGAGCAGACGAUCAAUGAGACCUUGCAGGUGUGCUGGAGCCAGGCAUUGGAUCAGCUACAUCCUUGCACACCAGUGGGAAACUCACACACCAUCCUCUGGGCUCUGUCACUCAGAACAAAAACAGGUGAAAGUCUCUUGCAGGUGCUUGAUAAUGUUUAUAUUUCUUCCACAUCACAGGCAGGAAAAGGGCAGCCCCUACACAAGAGCCAAGGAGAUCUGGUUCCUUCUAAGCUUCCAUUAGCCCAGGCAAAUCACUUCAUCUUUCUUUUCCUCCAUUCUCUUUUGGUGAAAUGGAAAUCCUGUGGCAUCUGGAAAAUAAAUCCACUACUCUGUUGGGAAAGCUGGCUACCCAAAGGUGGUGGUGCAUUCCAUACAUUAUCCCUAAUUUCUUGCCAAAAGAUAGAUGUCUUUAGAAAGAACACCUGCAAGAACGAGGAAAUAUGA